CCUCCCUUCCCACCUCUCUGCUCCCCCAGCUCAGACCCUGGGUGCCGCGCAGCCACAGCUGCUCACACUGAUCCUGCUAUCUGGCAAUAUUCCUCUUCUCCUGCCCACUGUCUCUGUCCCUGUCAACUCAGGUAUCCCAUUUGUCUGUCUUAGGAUCUAGACAUCCCUUGGGGAAAGGAGGUGGAAGCUGUCUCUGCUCUGCUGUGCCCUAAUAGCUUAAGGUCUCUGACCACAGUGUUACCCUUCUGGAGGAACACAUUUCACUUCAGAGAAGGUCACAGACUGGAAUAAACAUAUGGAUCUGCACUGAUCUUCACAGAGGCCUCAUCUACAGUCAGAGAGAGGGCCAAGUCUUGACAGUGAUGUCUGCAGGAGUACACUGGCAUCUGUUGAGAGUGCCUCUCUUCAACCCCUAAAACAGAAUGGAUGUCAUGGGUGCCCAUAUGUCCAUCCCAUGCCUUCUUCUGUGGAGAUUUCCAGUGGUGCCAGGGACAGAACUGGAGAUGGCUGUCUCUGGGAAGAAGGAAUGCUCCUCUGGCUUUCUACAGAAGAAGAAAUACACGGCCAUUUAACACUAGUAGCCAAAGUUGAUGGAACCUUAGCCUAUGAGAAUGUACUUCAAAUCUCCCAUUUUUAAGCAGAGAAACUGCAACACAAGCCC
ensembl:lncRNA